rnacentral:rRNA from 1 species
UACGUAGGGGGCAAGCGUCGUCCGGAUUCAUUGGGCGUAAAGAGCGUGUAGGCGGCCAGGUAGGUCGGUUGUGAAAACUGGAGGCUCAACCUUCAGAGGUCGACCGAAACCAUCUGGCUAGAGUCCGGGAGAGGAGAGUGGAAUUCCUGGUGUAGCGGUGAAAUGCGCAGAUAUCAGGAAGAACACCCGUGGCGAAAGCGGCUCUCUGGGCAUUACCUGACGCUGAGGAGCGAAAGUGUGGGGAGCGAACAGG